rnacentral:rRNA from 1 species
AACGAACGCUGGCGGCAGGCUUAACACAUGCAAGUCGAACGGGUGUAGCAAUACAUCAGUGGCAGACGGGUGAGUAACACGUGGGAACCUUCCUAGGGGUACGGAACAACUCAGGGGAAACUUGAGCUAAUACCGUAUACGUCCGUAAGGAGAAAGAUUCAUCGCCCCUAGACGGGCCCGCGUCGGAUUAGGUAGUUGGUGGGGUAACGGCCUACCAAGCCUACGAUCCGUAGCUGAUCUGAGGGGAUGAUCAGCCACACUGGGACUGAGACACGGCCCAGACUCUACGGGAGGCAGCAGUGGGGAAUCUUGGACAAUGGGCGCAAGCCUGAUCCAGCCAUGCCGCGUGAGUGAAGAAGGCC